rnacentral:rRNA from 1 species
GGGGUUACGUAUUGUUUGAUCAUGGCUCAGAUUGAACGCUGGCGGAUGCUUUACAAUGGAACCGAUCACACGGACUUCGGUCUGGUGGCGAGUGGCGAAUCAUGAGUAAUGCAUCGAACGUGCCUAGUAGCGGGGGAUAACUACGCGAAAAAGCGCAGCUUAAUCGCAUACGCCCUUCGGGGGAAAGCGGGGGGACCUUUCGGGCCUCGCACUAUUAGAGCGGCCGAUAUCGGAUCUACGCUUAGUUGGUGGGGUAACGGCUCACCAAGGCGACGAUCCGUAGCUGGUUUGAGAGGACGACCAGCCACACUGGGACUGAGACACGGCCCAGACUCCUACGGGAGGCAGCAGUGGGGAAUUUUGACAAUGGGGGAAACCCCGAUCCAGCCAUCCCGCGUGGGCGAUGAAGGCCUUCGUUGUAAAGCACUUUUGGCGCAGGAAAGAAACGGCACGGAUAAUACCCCGUGCAACUGACGGUACCUGCAGAAUAAGCACCGGCUAACUACGCCAGCAGCCGCGGUAAUACGUAGGGUGCGCGUUAAUCGAUGUCCGUCCGGCGUAAAGCGUGCGCAGGCGGUUCGGAAAGAAAGAUGUAGUCCGUAGAUCAGAUCCUGGAACUGCAUUUUUAACUACCGAGCUAGAGUGUGUCAGAGGAGUGUGGAAUUCCGCGUGUAGCAGUGAAAUGCAGAUAUGCGGAGGAACACCGAUGGCGAAGGCAGCUUCCCGGAGUCAACACUGACGCUCAUGCACGAAAGCGUGGGGAGCAAACAGAGCUACAUAUCCGAAUUACGCCCUAAACGAUGUCAACUAGCUGUUGGGGCCUUCGGCCCGGUAGCGCAGCUAACGCGGUGAAGUUCGAUCCCGCCUGUAGGCAUGGUCGCAAGAUUAAACUCAAAGGAAUUGACGGGGACCCGCACAAGCGGUGGAUGAUGUGGAUUAAUUCGAUGCAACGAAAACCUUACCUACCCUUGACAUGUCUGAAUCCCGAAGAGAUUUGGGAGUGCUCGCAAGAGAACCGAACACAGGUGCUGCAUGGCUGUCGUCAGCUCGUGUCGAGAUGUUGGGUUAAGUCCCGCAACGAGCGCAAACUUUGUCAUUAGUUGCUACGAAAGGGCACUUGUCGAGACUGCCGGUGACAAACCGGAGGAAGGUGGGGAUGACGUCAAGCUCAUGGCCUCAGGCAGGGUCCACACGUCAUACAAUGGUCGGGACAGAGGGUCGCUAACCCGGGCGAGGGGAGCCAAUCCCAGAAACCCGAUCAACUGGAUCGCAGUCUGCAACUCGACUGCGCCACCACUGGAAUCGCUAGUAAUCGCGGAUCAGCAUGUCGCGGUGAAUACGUUCCCGGGUCUUGUACACACCGCCCGUCACGGGGAGUGGGUUUUACCAGAAGUAUUAGCCCAACCGUAAUGAUAUCGCCGCGACUACCACGGCAGGGAUCCAUGACUGGGUGAAGUCGUAACAAGGCAA